UACCCGAAAAAUUCAAGUUAAUUUCCGAUGACGUUUUGGAAAUGAUUUCGUGGUCGUGGACACGAGUACGAAGCUUAGAGGAGUGUGGAAUUAGUUCGAACGAUUUUAUUUUGAAAACUGAACGUUUUAGGGGGGUCAAAGGAGUUGACUUUUUAUACAUUGGGAAAUUGGGAAAACUUCCUUCAUGAAAGUUGUAGAGCGCGUCGAUACGAGUUCGUGGACAUAUGGAACGUAAUAUUCGGAGUUCGUAUGAAUAAGUUACGAAUAUUUGAAAAUUGGGAUUUUCUAUAAAUAUGAAAAAAAAUCCGAAUAUUGCAAAUGAGGACAGAAUUUCUGGAACUCCAGAAAUUUCUCCCCAUUUCUCUCCCGAGCCCAGCCGCGACCCCCUCCCUUCGUCACCUUCGUUCUUCCUCAUCCGGCCACCGAUUGAUGUGAAACAAAGUGGGUUUUUCUGGUCUCGACCCCCUUUACGAGUUUGUAGAAGAAAUCGAAGUGAAAUACGAGCUGUAUGAGGCUCUACAAGGUCGAGAAGAGAGCCUCGUCGGAGACGAAAUCGCUCUUCCCCACUUUUUCUGGGCUCUACUUUGUCUGGCCAUAUCUUCCUCUACAGGCCUCCGAUCGACCUGAUUCCAAAAGCAAUUUUUCUCACCGUGAAGUUUUCUACAACUUUCCAGAAGACAUCGACUUGAGAUAACCAUCGUGGUGGCCGCUAGAAGACCAAGAAGCCGCACAGCCGAGCUGGAAAUCGUCUUCCUUCGCCACCUUGGUUCUCCCAGCUCCGGCCACUAUAGCUCGAGUUCUUUGAGGGCUUUUCUAGCCCAGAGGAAGUAGAAGCUAUCCCCAAGAAGGCUUGCAGCGAUUUGAUCCGGGGUGAUCGAAUUUUGAAGAUUGGGAAACUAGGGUUCUUCGGGUUUCAAAACUUGCGAGGUGAUUGACGGUCUCCCUUGGGUGAACGAUUUCGGUGUGUAUUGUGUUGAAUUGAAGACGCAGCGGGAAUAUCGAGGUGAGUAAAUCGCACAUGGUUCAUUCACGAACCGAAAUUCGGUGAUUUUAUUUAAUUGAGAAAUUGUGGAAAUUGUUUUACUAAAAUAAAUAUUUGUUUUAAAUUAUAUGGACUUGAUCGACUACGGUCCAUAGGUAAGUAAAAUGUAUUUAAACUAUAAAAAUGAAUUUCUAGAUUUUAUUGCA